AGCCUCUCUCAAGCGUCUCCUGGUGGCAGCAAAGUAAAGUCUGAAGCCUUGGAAAAGGUUGAUCCUCCACCAGUCCUCAAAGUUCCUGCUAUCUACAUCAAGGAGGAACCUGAGAGUGAAACUGAAGAAGUAUCCAUCAAAGACGAACCAUUCAUAUAUGGAAAUGAAGCCUCUUCAACUCUAACAUCUCCCUUGUUUACCAUGCAAGGCAGAAGUUAAAGUUGAGGCUCACAACUCCUACCAAAACUCCUCACAGAACAUUUCUGCUCAUUUUUCAAAUCAUUGUGGUGAAGGUGGGUCAGCACCGGCAUCAGCAAAUGCUGCUGGCAGUGGUGACGUCUCUGGGGCGUCCAGCUCCAAGCAACACAUAGAAAAAUCAUUCAAGUUCCAUGACUGUGAACAAGCGGGUACCACAAGAAAAUCAAUGCAAGAGCGUAUCAACUUGAAAAAUUUGUGUGGAAGUAAACACCGAUGCCAGUUCUGUUUGAAUUCAUGUGCCACUAAAGCUGAUCUCAAACAACAUAUUUUCCUACGUCAUCCACAGAGAAAUGCACAGAAAUGCUCACAAAGUAAAUGCACUGAUGGUUGCAAAGAAAUCUUGCACAAGUGCCACCUUUCUAAACGUUCAUCACUGAAGUUUUGUUGCUCCGAAUGUGAUUAUGCUUACAACACAAAUUGGAAAUUGAAAAGAC
rnacentral:lncRNA from 1 species